ensembl:snoRNA small nucleolar RNA SNORA17
CCUGCCCCUAGACGUGUUGCACGUGUGGCCGCUGUGUGUCUUGUGCAUCAAUAAGUAGAAGAGAGGAGAGAGGCUAUACAUAAGUUCAAUGUUCUGACCAAUGGACAACUGAAAGAUUAGUAGAAUAACAUU